AUCCGUCAUCAUCUCAAAGCACCGCUCGGUACACCCACCCAUCUGCGUUCUGCCGUCCCUUACUCAAUUUACGCAUCAAUCGACGUGGACGCCCAUGCGGCUUUUCCAUCACUCUGCCGGAUACCCCACUGCGUCGGUCCCGGCUGUGCUGCCCUAUCAUCCUUCUCAUACCCUUCAUCCUCAUCAUCCUUUUUGGGUAAUUUGGGCAUCCCGAGGGUUCGCGAGAUGAAGAUACUGUACAAGGUCAUGGUGAAGUUGAUGAGCCACGCUACUGCGACGGCCAAGCAUCCGACUACUUGGAUAACCCUAUCCAACCAGCUAAUAUGGUAGUUGGGCCCCUAAUUGGGCCAUAGCCAUGAAGAACCCAGUCAGCGGGAAAGUAAAACUCCACCACCCCAUUGACCAUUCGACUUGACGAUCGAGUGCCUGCCCAAAAAUCCAAAUGGUCAGGGUAGACAAAAGAAUAUAGAGACCAAGACCCUACUUGCUGUGAGUUUCAAUCUUCCUCAUUGUUAUUCAGAAAAAAAAAAAAAAAAAAAAAAAAGAGGAAAACAGCGGGACGUACAAGGAGGAUAAGGCUGUACCAUACACUGACGACUUGGAAUAUCUGACCUCCAUUUGAAGAUGUAAGGAUGUUGCUAGCCGGAAACGCGUCGACCGCGAGAUUACCGAGAUUUAAAAACGCUAAAGAACGAAACACGGUCGGCAUUAUGGCAUUUUACAAUACCAUAUCUUGACCGAGCUACAACUCACCAAAGGCAGUAAACCCUGGAGGUCCAACAGCGAUCAAGUACCCGGGGAGUGAAGAGGGCGCAGGGUUGACCCGAAGCAUGUUCCUCGCCAUCCACACGGAGCAUUUCAAUAUGGAGAGCAUCAUCCCCAUCCCUUGUAGCCAGUAGCUGAUGAUGAUGAUAUGGCCGGCUUCGUGGAGGGGCAGUUUGGUAGCAAGCGCACUGCCAAUGGUUCCGGAAAGCAUGAGCGGCUAAGUGAAAACAAAUUUUCUUCAGUUUUGUAAAAAAAAAAGACGACCAAUUAUAGGAUUAUAGGAUUAGAGUUGGGGUUCAAAACUCACGAAAAACAGUAAACAGUCUGCAGGGGUUAUAGUAUCCAGCUUACGCUGAUGUCCCCGCAAGGUACAUUCGAGGAUCAACGCAAUCGCCAAACUACACCCUACAUACACCCAGUACACCACAUACAUCGCCCUUGUCAACCAGAACCCACAGUAAGGCACUCCAUAAUCCAUAAUUCCAACAAAGAGCGUCGCUACGGCCAAAAGGAUACAGGGAAUGUACGUCCCAUCCGAAUGAUCGAAGAAUGAAUCUUUAAAAUUUGCCCAGUGGAAGAUUGCACGGGAAGCCACACCGAUGAUGUUGAUGAGGAAGACCACGAGGUCGAUCAUGAAGAAGACGGUACCGAUCUCGCGUUGGCCAUUGAACGGAAAUUGAACCCCGCCUACGAGAAUGGCGACGGCGCCUGUACCCAUGUUGACUGUGAAGCAACUGAUGAAAUUCGUUUCAGUCAGCACUGGAAGCAAUCACUCGAGUGGUAAUAAGAGGGGCAUGGUUACAACUCACUUCCAAGUCCAGAAUUCACUUCUAGCCACCCAUCCCCUCGGCUUGUAAUUCGGAUCAUUGACCUGUUGUGUAUCAAGAUCAUUG
rnacentral:sRNA from 1 species